CGUACACUCCUGCGGGAGGCAGCAGUGGGGAAUCUUGCGCAAUGGGCGAAAGCCUGACGCAGCCAUGCCGCGUGAAUGAUGAAGGUCUUAGGAUUGUAAAAUUCUUUCACCGGGGACGAUAAUGACGGUACCCGGAGAAGAAGCCCCGGCUAACUUCGUGCCAGCAGCCGCGGUAAUACGAAGGGGGCUAGCGUUGCUCGGAAUUACUGGGCGUAAAGGGAGCGUAGGCGGACAUUUAAGUCAGGGGUGAAAUCCCGGGGCUCAACCUCGGAAUUGCCUUUGAUACUGGGUGUCUUGAGUAUGAGAGAGGUGUGUGGAACUCCGAGUGUAGAGGUGAAAUUCGUAGAUAUUCGGAAGAACACCAGUGGCGAAGGCGACACACUGGCUCAUUACUGACGCUGAGGCUCGAAAGCGUGGGGAGCAAACAGGAUUAGAUACCCGGGUAGUACCAUG
rnacentral:rRNA from 1 species